CCGUGCCAGGGGUCGCACCCAGCGCUCCCCAGGCCUCAGGACGCAGGCCUGCUUAGUGGUGUUUGGGAACAGUGUCGUCCCCUGCGGCCAAACGUCAGGGAAAUAAUGAGAAAAGCCAGAGAAGGAAGUGUUCCUGUGCUCAUACGCAUAAUUUGAGCGGGGAAGUGCCACACUUUGGAUGUGGGGAGUAAAAAUAAGGAGCACUGAAUGGCCCUGGGUUCUUCUGAAAAAGACAAAUUUGGGGUCACCUGGAGUCCCUGUUUACAGCAGUAAAUCUAAAUAGGUUUUUGUGGAUUUCCAUAUUUAGUGGGAGUUCUCCACGGUUACAUCUAAAUACCGCUGCACUUAAUAAACCCUCAUAAAUUCAGGGCAGUUAAGAAACCAUCAUACUCAGGCUGUCAGAUGGAAACUUCUCUUGUGAUGAAAUUAAUAAAGGCGCACUAAUUACUGUAAUACUUUGAAGAUUAGAUCCCAAAUGUAGUAUGCUAAUUUUGGUUUAAAAUUUACCAAAAUUCUCAGUUUACAUCCAAAUCAUUACAGUUUGCCAAAGCAUUCUAAUAAUCCAUAUACAGAAUCAAUAGUGGCUGUACACAGAGCACUUAUUUAGUCAAGUUGCCAUAAAAUUCUCUUUUAUUUACUGAAGCAGCUUUUUUUAGCUUUAUUACUUUCACAAUGUAUUUAUUAACCUGCUGUUAUAUGGACAUCAUUAUUACUCACCUACUAAGACUGUGUAGCAAAGCUUUUUGUCUAUACUAAUUGAAUUAUUGAAUAACUUGUGAUUCAUACUCUGCUUUGGACCACUGACAUGUUGUUGGCUCAAUUUCUUGUGUCUCCCAAAGGAAGAGCAGCAGGCUAACCUACAAAAUUCAGUGGGUUUAGCUUUCAAUUCCUAGCUUACAAGAGUUGCGCAAAUUUGUGUUGGGCAAUGGAGCCGUUUGUUUAACUUAUUUACUUUGCCACCUUAAUUACCUUAAAAUUCCAACUAAAUUCAAGAAGAACUAAUUUAAUUUAUGAUAAAGUGUCUAUAAUACAAUUUUUCCAGGCAGUGACACUGGAAAAUUAAUGUAAAUGCAUAGUCAGAUCUUAUCUGAAUGUCUUGGUCUGUAAAGCUGGAUAAGAAAUCUCCCAAGAAUAUGCUUUUUCGUGAACUUUCUGGUACUUCCUGCUUUUAAUUUGCUCAAAAAUACUGCAUAGAAAAGUGCAACACAGCACUUUUUCCUCCCAGCUGGAGUUAGGAAAUGCAGGGUAUGAAAAGUGAAAAAGAGAGAACGGAGGAAAAUGAUCCAAAUUUUCCAAAACCUCUUAAAAAUGUUUUAAUUGAACUAACUUGUUCAGCUGCAAAUAUAAAUGACUGAACUCCCAAGGAGAGGAUUUAUAAAAAAUAAUUGAGUGAUAACAUUCAGAUUUAUAGUGUGAAUGAUUUGAAAAUAUAUUUUUUUACCAGCACCCAUGCUGGAUGAUAAAUGUCAGACUGAGGAAUAAGUACUGUACAGUAUGUAAUUGCUGGCAGUUGCCCUAUGUAUGUGUACAUACACAUGCUGGCAUUUAAAGGCCCAGUUGCGUAGCUCCACCUUCCAGUGAAGGAAAAGAUUAAAGUGUGUUUAAAAAUUACCAAAAUGAAGUUUGGUUGAGUGUUAAUAUUUUGAAGAUGUCGUAUUAGCAAUAUGCUGAUGCUAACUUGGAGUGGAAAAGCCAUGUGUACAGAAAACUAAUCAGAGCUCUGUCUUUACUAUAAAAUACCUGACUUGUGAUUAGGGCACACAGAAAAGUAAAGGCAAGAACACAGGUUUCAAAAUGUUGAAACUGAUCUGCUCCAUAUAUUGCACAGAAUCAGAGCCUCGGGUCAACUUCGAAACAAAACUGAACAAGCUGAGAAAAACUGACACAUUCCAUGUGUGAGGAAGAUCCUAUCACUCUUGAAAAGUCUAGAGGACUACGGAGAAGGGCAAGAUUCCUGCUCCUGAGAUCACACAAAGGCAGAAUGAAGUUGCUCCUCACUGAGCACAAGGAGUGAGGCGAAGAUCUCAGAAAAGGAACAUGAAAGUGCAGAGAUUAGGAAAUACUGAAGAGAAUACAACCAACACUGGCUUUCUUUAAGGAAAGCUAAGCAUUUCAUAAAAUAAAGAGGAAAAGGCCACAGAGUCAAACAGAUUUUUGCUGAAUAAGCCCAAUUUGAAUUUGGAUUUAACAAAGAAAUCAAGGGUAGGAAAUAAAUCAGGAAAAGAUAUAGUUAUAAACAACCAAACACCUGGCUUAGAAGCAGCUGUACUACUGUAUUAGUAUGGUGCUGUCUUCAGGCUGUCAUCCCACCCUCCUGGUAAGGCUAAUAAAUUUGGGUAAGUGGACAAGUUCUCAUAUGUAUACUGGUUUUAAACUUGACACACCUGAUGACAGAAUACAGAGAGGGCCUGUAUAAUUCAUGUCUGCUCUCUCCUAUUUUCAUUUUAUUCCUAUCCCAGAAGGGGGUGGGAAAUAGUGUAUGCAAAUCCGAGACCAAAGUUUUCUUAAUUUUGAAUCUAGCUGGUUCAAAAUAUUGCUUUGAAAAAAGCCAGCCCACAUGUCACAACAAAAAGCCAGCCCACAACCUAAGUUAACAAGAAUAGUCCAUUUCUUAUCUUGUGGACUAGUGUUGUUAGAGGGCUAUGGAGGCACACUAAAAAUAAAAAUAUAAAUGCUUAUUUAUUUAAGUGGACAUAUAAAACAUUCACAGUUAUAAAAAGUGCAAUAUUAGUUUUUCACCAGUGUUAUGAACAAAA